rnacentral:misc_RNA from 1 species
UUUCCGUUGGUGAACCAGCGGAAGGAUCAUUACAGAGAUCGUGCCCUUCGGGGUAGACCUCCCACCCUGUGUUAUUUACGUCUGUUGCUUUUGCGGGCCGCCUCCGGGCUCUCGGCUUCGGCCGAGGUGUGCCCGCCAGAGAACCCACAACCCUGUGUUUAGUGUCGUCUGAGUAUUAUCAAAUAAGUUAAAACUUUCAACAACGGAUCUCUUGGUUCUG